rnacentral:tRNA from 1 species
CGAAAAGUUGAUAGAAAGCUGCUAACUUUUUUUUUAGUUAAAUACUACUGU